rnacentral:rRNA from 1 species
UACGUAGGUGGCGAGCGUUAUCCGGAAUGAUUGGGCGUAAAGGGUGCGUAGGCGGCCUGCUAAGUCUGGAGUGAAAGGUACCGGCUCAACCGGUACAGGCUCUGGAAACUGGCGGGCUAGAGAGCAGGAGAGGGCGGUGGAACUCCAUGUGUAGCGGUAAAAUGCGUAGAUAUACGGAGGAACACCAGUGGCGAAGGCGGCCUGCUGGACAUUAACUGACGCUGAGGCGCGAAAGCGUGGGGAGCAAACAGG